CAUAUUUGCCUGAAAACGAAUUAUUCGACGAAAUAUUACAUUUGAAAAACUUCAAAAAUGGAAUUAAUGGAAGAAAAACGCCAGCCACUGAUAAGCUUUCAACUCAAAUUUUAAAUUAUUUCAAUGGAAAUCAUAUUCCUUGUCUGCAUCUUACAUAAGCUAUCGAAUUCUCACUUUGUUUACAUAUAUUAACAACUGAAAGGUUGUUUUCUAUUAUAAAUAAUCUGUGAAUACGAGAAAAAUCGCAGCUGAAGAAUGAUACCGUGAAGGCAAUGGUUAUAACUAACUGCAAUUCAGAGUGCAAUACUUACAAAGCGUUCAAAGAACAAAUUCCAAAUUGCGAUGGACAUUAAAAAGGUUCAUUCUCUUUCAAAAUGUGAACAAUGCGCUUAUGAAGAACAGGAAGACAACUUAGAAGAUGACCAUAUUGGAAAGCUUGCACAGUUGAACAACUGUAAAAAAUUACUAGAAUGGAUGAAACCUUGUCAGAGUAUAUUACAUAAAUUGAUCCAAACAUUGCAUGCAUCCUAAUAAUUCACCAAAUGAUAAACAAUGCAAUUCCUAGUUAUGAAGAAAUAUACAAAAAAAAAAAAUAGAAAAAUAUGCAGACAUCGAAACUGUAAUUUUUAGAAAAUAAGAAAUUAAUUUAAAAAAAAACUAUUUCUAAUAAAGACAUCUGGACUUAAUAACCACAUUUUAUUUAUUGGAAAAUAGUGACAUUUUUAUCAAUUUCUGUAGGAAUUUUAUUUUUCGAUUAGCGAGGAUCAUUGGUGGAAUUGAUUACCUAGAAUAUGUGAAUAGUCUGAAUAUAUCUCCUAUCCUUCUUAAAAAUUAUCUUGGAAAUUUUUAAAAAAGUUUUUGCUCAUAACAAAUCUCUGUAAUUUUAUAUUAAAAGGAUUGAACUUUUUCAUACUUUAUUUCUUAGUACUUAAAUAAUAAUUAAUUCUAAAAAAAAUAUUUCAGCAAGUUGAAUAUUAUACCAGAAGAAUUUCAGUCUAAAAAAGGGAUUUAAUACAAACAAUUUUCCAUUCUCUGUUAUAACUGCAAUAGUUUGAUUUUAUUUCACACAUUAUUUAAUAUAAAAACCCCUAUCAGCGAAAAGUUUAACGAAAAAAUCAAUAUCUUAAUAAAACUUUACAUAAAAUGCUGAGCUUUGGUAAAUGGCACAUUUAAAACAAUACGAGAUCAGACAUGUAAUUAUUUACUAUUGUUGCAAAUUAGAACCAAAAAGAAUUUUUGUAAGCUAUAUUAGACGAUGGUAUUUUUUAUACAUGGUGUUCUACACACCCAUAUACAGAAAGUGGGAGGUUUAGUUUUAAUAUCAUGUUGAAUAACAAUCAAAAACAAAGUCCAACAUUAAGAAUUUGUGUAAAUUAAAAAAAUUUUUUUGCGGUACUAGUUUCGAUAGUUUUUGAACUACUUUCUUCAGCUGCUAAGUGCAAAUGAACCAAAUAAAGUGUGAAGAAAGAUAAGAUAAGGAUAGAGAUAAGAUAAGUUGGACAGAUGUUAAGCUACGGGCACCAUCUACUGAUGAAACAAGGAAAACUAAAACAAAUUUUCUUUAAAGGCUGAAGGUAAAGAUGGAUUGCAGUUGAGGUCAUUAACUAGAACAGAAAUGUUAUGCUUCUAAAAAAUCUAAUUCACCAAUGGAGGACGUUUUUUGAAUAAUUUUGGCUGCAGAAAAAUGGAAAGUGUGAUUUUCACUCCAACAAUGCUGAGCAACAGCAGAUUUCUGAGUUUCCUUUUCCCUAACAUAUGCCUCAUGUUCUUUAACACGAAAUUUUAGAGCUCUUUUUAUUUGAUCAAUGUAAAUUAAACCAUGUUGGCAAGGAAUACUGUAAAUACGACAGGAAUUCAUAUCCAAAAUGGAGUCCUUAAGCAUGAAACUAGGAAUUUUAUUGAUAGAAGAGAAAACAAUCCAAAAGUUAAAUUUCUGCAAAAUACGUGCAAUUUUACAUCUAAUUGACGGAAAGAAAGGAACGACAACAGAAUUCCUAUAACCACCUAAAACAGGAUUGUACCUUUUGAUGUGCUCCGAUGAGAAUUUUUUAACUGCAUGGCUAAUAAUGUUGGAUGAAAAACCUCUGUUCAAUAGCUACUGCUUUUAAAUAAUUUAGUUCCUGGGGUAUUUAUAAUAUAUGAAGUGUGCAAGUAACAUAAACACACUUCAAUUAUCAUUAGCAAAAAAUAUCAUUUUUUAAAAAUUUAUUAUUUAACCAAACUCGGUGGCACAACAGCCCUAGUGAGCCAUGGCCUGCGGUAUCCCGAUAUCUGCUUUCCAGACUGUGGGCCUCAGGGUGAAUGAGCAUAUGCCCUGGACAAGUGGUUGCAGGAUCUCUGGCGUUUACUCCCCAAGCAAACUUAUUACUCAUUUUAUCCACCCACUAAACAGAUGAAAAGCUGACCCAACCUUGCCCAGCCUGGGAUCGAAACCCGGACUUGUGGUGUUGCUGUUUAAGGCACUAACCACUGUGCCACCGACCUUAAAUUUAUAAUUUAGCUUAGCUUUUAUUUUGAAGAGUUUGAAAAAAAUCUGGCAAAAGCUAGGAAAAAUAUUUUAAGAUUUCAGUGAUCAACAAUUGGCAACAAAAAAUAAUGAAAAAUUCAUAGUAUAUUUUGAUUCUGUUCCCAAAAAUUUACCUUCAUUUGCACUAUCAUAUUCAUGGUUCCAGGUACCUGCAGUUCCAUUUGCUGAGUUCACUGAAAUGUAAAAACAAUGAUUUCCAUGGGAUAAUACAAUAUGAAUGCUCACCAUACGGAUAUUCUUCAUACGUGAUAGACAUUUUGGGAAGAAAACAUUUAUCAUGUUAAGGCAGACAGGCUUCUUACUACCUUAAGAUGGAUUCUUCUAUUUUUUUUUUUUUUAUUAUUCCUUACAUUCAAAAUGUAAAUGAAAAGGACUAAAUUUGAGAAGAUGUUACACGAAUGUGAAGAUUUAAAAAUACAAACUGCCAAAAGGGCUUUACAGAAAUCCUUCCAAUAACAGACAGACUGCUGAAGUGCAAGCACUUGCAAAAGAAUCUAUUCUGAAAAUGAUUAGGAUUCCAUAUCUCCAAAUAAGGGUUUUCCCAGCCAAAAAUUAGUUAAGUUUUGAAUAGAACUAGUAUCGACCAAAAUACACAUAGAAUUUCUAUUGGAACAGUGUUUUUCAUGGUUUUGCUUAAGACGUCAAAGUAUACUUGGUUAUCUGCAACAGCAGAUUCUGGUUGGGUAAAAAAGGCUAUUCUGCAUUUUUGUACAGUUAAUUAUAAACAUUAGUUUUGUAGAACUGUUAUAAAUCUAUGCCUUUGAACGAGCUUUUAGUUUAACUCUUGGGAUGCAAAAUAACUAAAACAUGCACACACACAAUGUAAAAUUUUAUAUAAAUUAUGCUAAUUUUUUAUCGAUUAAUUUUCAAAACUAAGGUACACUUACACGAAAAAAAAUUUACAUCCUCUAAAAUAUUUUAUUACAUUUAUAGUUAAUAUAUAAUAUUCCUAUCAAUUUCUAGAUUAGAAUUUACAGUUUUAUUGUGAAAACUCAGACCUCAGAUACUUGCCAAAUAAAACUAACAAAAGUGACCUCGUGUACUGUAUAUCACAAUUUUAUAUUAAUGAAAACUACAUACAUUUAUUAUAAUGCCUGUAAAUUAUUUUCAUUAAAGAAAUCUAAAACUUCCAAAUCAACUUAAACAGCUGUUUAUUUACAGAAGAAGGCACAUAAUUAACGUUAAAUGUUUUUAUGACUGCAAUUACUUUGAAUAAAAAUAAAUUAAGGGAAAUGACAUAAUAAGUGUUACCUUAAACAAAUUUGACUCAACAAGUGUUUAGGUAGAUAUCUGCCAAAGUUUAAGAACUACUAUGACUACUAAGACUGAACUACAAAAUCAUAAAAUAUAUAGGAUUCAGAUUUUCAUUUUGAUGUAAAAAAUCACAUAAUCACAAUUACAAAGAAGAAGCUGGGCUCAAAUUUUAAUAACGUUUUAGAAAAAUGAAGAUGCUUAAUGUAUAACAUUUUGAAAUAUCAAAAAUUUGUUUAAGAUUAUGACUGACAUUUAUUACUCUAUGUACACUUAGUAAUAAAAAAAAAUGGUUUAGGAUGAACAGGAAUGAUAAAUGUAAAUGUUUUAUUUUAAUACAUUAAUAUUUACAGAUAAUGACUGAACUCUUUACACAAUAAUUACAGUAACAAAAUUAAAGCAUAGAGGCACAUUAUUUUGGAUGAAUAUUGAUGCUUAAAAAAUUACACAUUGAAUACAGAAAAUUUUAUUUUCAAAUCAAAAGCAAUCAGCAAUGAAAGAUAAUAUUAUGCAGUGAUAACAAUAUAAAAAAUAAGCCUUUUUUUAAAGUUUUUCAAUGCAACAGACAAUGAGUAUAUUUACAAAUAUGAGAAAAACUAAGGCAGAUAGAAAGGGGGGACUAAAAAAAAACUGAACUAAAUUUAUAUAUAUA